CCUCCUGGAGGGCACCCAAAUCAGGGUGGGGUUCCCUGCCACUACAGAGCCCAUGCUUCUACCUCUGAGAGGCACUGGCAGGAAGAGAUGAAGGAGUUCAGCCUGCCCAAACUGUCCCGCUUGGGGUGAAGAACUCUGCCCUCUUCUUGGGGAAUUCCUGGCUCUGGGAUUGUUGGACCCUCUGCACGAUCCUGCAUUGUGGAGUCCUAUACUGUUAAUGCUUCU